rnacentral:rRNA from 1 species
GAUCCUGGCUCAGGAUGAACGCUGGCGGCGUGCUUAACACAUGCAAGUCGAGCGAAGCACUUAAGUUUGAUUCUUCGGAUGAAGACUUUUGUGACUGAGCGGCGGCGGGUGAGUAACGCGUGGGUAACCUGCCUCAUACAGGGGGGAGUAACAGUUAGAAAUGGCUGCUAAUACCGCAUAAGACCACGGUAAUGCAUGGUACAGUGGUAAAAACUACCGGUGGUAUGAGAUGGACCCGGCGU